UUUUGCAGUUGUGAAUGAAUAUUGACUCUCUGAUCCGUCAGAGCCAGGCCUGGUUAGUACAUGGAUGGGAGACCGCCUUGGAAGACAGGGUCCUGCUAGAC
rnacentral:rRNA from 12 species